AACGUAGGAGACAAACGUUAUCCGGAGUUACUGGGCGUAAAGGGCGUGUAGGUGGUUUCGUAAGUCUGGCGUGAAAUAUCUCGGCUUAACCGAGGCAGGUCGUCGGAUACUGCGGAACUGGAGGACGGUAGAGGCGUGUGGAAUUCCUGGUGUAGCGGUGAAAUGCGCAGAUAUCAGGAAGAACACCCGUGGCGAAGGCGGCUCUCUGGGACGGUACUGACGCUGAGACGCGAAAGCGUGGGGAGCGAGCAGG
rnacentral:rRNA from 1 species